ensembl:lncRNA
AGCAGCUAAAUCAGGUUUGGCAUGCAAAUACCAGAAAAGAGAGAGGUCACUGAUAAAAAUGUUAAAUAAAACUGGCCCCAGUAUUGAACGCUUUGGAACACCACCAGUGACCAGCUACCAACUGGACUGAACUCUGUUCACCUUGAGAGCAGCAAUCCAGACAGUAUUUCACACAGUAAACUUCACGUCUGUCCAAGCUAUGAGCAGCCAGUUUCUCCACAAGAAUGCUGUUGGUGUUACUUUACUAAAAUCCAGACUGUAUUUAAUUGUUGCUAUCCCCAUACCACCUUGACAAGAAACAGGAUCAGAGAUGUCCUAUAAACAAAAGUGAACUCCACUGAAUGCCACCCUCAGCAAGGAAACAGA